GAGGCCGGGCCCGUGGCCGAGGCACAAAACGUCUGCUCGUCGCCAAUGUUUUCCAGGCCAGACCGAGACGGCGGCGGCCCUGCUCCCACCCUGCCUUACAUUCUCCCCAUUCUUACGCGUUUCCUGACCUCCCUGACGCCGGUGCUUGACUCAGGAGACAGAUAACACCCCGAGGCAGUGCCAGGCGAGGGAGCAGAGCCAGCCAGCGCCCCGCGAGGAGAGGAGGGCAGCACACAGUGUGCAGCAUGGCCUCCGUGCAGUGCUACAAUAAAGGCUGCGGCCAAAAGUUUGUGCUCGAGGACAACAACGACGACGCCUGCGAGUACCACCCCGGCGCGCCCAUCUUCCACGACGCCUACAAGGGCUGGUCCUGCUGCAACAAGAAGAGCACGGACUUCACCACAUUCCUCAACACAAAGGGCUGUACGAAGGGCCGACACAACCCUGAGAAGCCCCCUGAGCCCAAGAAGCCCAAGGUGGACCCCAGCACCAGGGACGAAGUGAUCAGCGUGCAGGCGCCCACCCACGGCUCCCGGCUGUCCCAGGGGCUGCCCAGGCCAGAGUACAGCGCACCCACCAAGAGACUGCCCAUCACCAUCGCCCCCUCCCUUAAGCAGGCAUUGGAGAAGAAGGCCGCGGAGGAGAAGACCGACAACAACACUGAUGAAGGGGAGGUGUCGGAGACUGGUAUUAAGAUCGGGGAAUCCUGCAAGAACAACGGCUGCAAGGCUACAUAUGAUGGUGAGCACAGCAACCUGGACCUUUGCGAGCACCACCCCGGCUUCCCAAUCUUCCACGAGGGCCUCAAGUACUGGACCUGCUGUCAGAAGAAGACCACAGACUUCUCGGAGUUCUUGGACCAGGCGGGCUGCUCCACGGGGCACCACUGCUGGGUUAAGUUGGACUCUAAGAAGGUCGCCACGUGCCGUUACGACUGGCACCAGACCGGCAGCCACGUGUGUGUCGCCAUCUACGCCAAGCUGAGCGACCCCAAGACCACAUACGUCGAGGCCAACCCCAUCAGGCUCAACGCUAAUAUUGUGUUCGGAGACGCCAACCUGUUCACUCUGGAUGGGGAGCUGAGAGGGAUCAUUGACGUGGAACAGAGCAGCGUCAACCUGGCAGCGACCAAGGUGGAGAUCAAGCUGAAGAAGGCCGAACCAUGCAGCUGGCGGACGCUCAUCGCCGAGAAGGCCGCGCCAACCUCCGAGAACAAGACAGACGACGAGAAGGCGGAGUAUGAGGAGAUCAAGGAGAGGGUGGAUGCUGUGGACCUGAGCGACCUCUGAGAUACAAGGGAAGGAUAGAACACUGUAUUGGUAUUACUGUAUCUUAUUGAAGGCUUUUAUAUACCAGGCAAAGAGAUGGAGAGGGUAACUUACUGAACCCAUUGUGAGACCUCUGAGACACAAGGGAAGGAUAGAACACUGUAUUGGUAUUACUGUAUCUUAUUGAAGGCUUUUAUAAACCAGGCAAAGAGAUGGAGAGAGUAACUUAUUGAACCCAUUGUGAGAUCUCUGAGACACAAGGGAAGGAUAGAACACUGUACUGGUAUUGUAUCUUAUUGAAGGCUUUUAUAACCUAGCAAAGAGACAAAGAGAGUAACUUAUUGAACCCAUUGUGAGAUCUCUGAGACACAAGGGAAGGAUAGAAUACAGAGUUAUGGUACUAUGGUAUUUGAAGGCUUUUAUAGAAUGGAAUUGGGAUUUAGAGGGUAACUUAUGGAAGCCUUUUUACACUUUCUGAGAGGCAAAAAGAUGAAAACGGAAAUAUAUCGAACACAUUUUGAGAUCUCUUGAGAAUUAACCCAGUAGCAGCGACGGGCCAAAUUUGUGCCAUGAUAUAAACCCCAAAAAUAGAUGAUACAUAAAUUGAUCACAAAUGCUUUGAUAUAUAUUAUGAAAUGGUUUGUGUGAGUGAUGAUUUCUUCUCAUUUUUCUCGCUUAGAGGGACCAUUAAGAAACAUGAUCCCCGCUGGCUGCUACCGGGUUAAUGGAAGAUUACGACACGGAAUUAUUAUUAUUAUUAUUAUUAUAUGUUACUGAAGGCUUUUAUAGACUAGAGCAGGGAUUAAAAGGUUAAGUUACUGAAGCCUUUUUGCACUUUCUUAGAGGGAAAAAGAUGAGAAGAUUGUAACUUACUUAAACCAUUUUGAGAUCUCCCGAGACUCAAUUUAUGGAAGAACUGGAGAUGGAAUUACUGUAUGUUAUUGAAGGCUUUUAUAGACUAGAGCAGGGAUUAAAAGGUUAAGUUGUUGAAGCCUAUUUGCACUUUCUGAGAGGGAGAAAGAUGACAAAGAGGGUGACUUAAAUAAACCACUUUGAGAUCUCCUGAGACUCAAUUUAUGGAAGAACUGGAGAUGGAAUUAUUGUAUGUUAUUGAAAGCUUUUUAUAGACCAAGACCAGCCAGCACUGCAAUGUUCACAAAUGCCGCUGCAAUGCCAACACCGUUUUCUUAAGUCAGGGGUUAAAAGGGUAACUGAUUUAAACUGUUUUAGCGAUAUCUUGAUAAUUAAUGAAAGAAUAGAUGGAAUAAUUGUAUACUAUGUUAUUUCAAAAUGACGAGGGUAACACUGAAGACAUAUUGCAAGAGUCAGGGGUUAAAAGGGUGACCGAUUCAAACUGCUUUAACAAUAUCUUGACUAUUACUGAAAGAAUAGGAGAUGGAAUAAUUGUAUACUGUGUUAUUUCAAGGCUUUUAUACACCAGGCAGA